CUUUAUUUAUAAAGCGCUUUCAAACAAAGUGCUGUACAACUAUUUGAAACUAAAAAGAUAAAAAAUAAAUAAAAACAAUACAUAGCAAUACAGGUAAAAGACACAAUACAAGUUAAAAACAGUAAAAAUUUAAAACUGAAAGCCAUAGAAUUAAGACUUGUAAGAUAGGGUGAACAAAUGUGUCUUCAGCUUAGUUUUAAAAACCGGAAACAGAGCAUGCCUGCCUAAUAUCUUGAGGGAGGGUAUUCCACAGAAACGGGGCACCAAAAGAAAAAGCACGCUCUCCAAUAGUCUUUUUUUCUGGCUCUAGGAACCUUUAGAAGGCCAGAGUCCUGAGAUCGGAGAGCACGGGAUGGAACGUAAAGAUGUAAAAGGUCGGAGAGGUAUGAAGGUGCCAGUCUGUUUAAAGCCUUGUAGGUGAGCAGCAGGACCUUAAAAUCUGCUUGAACCUGACAAGGUAGCCAAUGAAGAGAGUUCAGUACAGGGCUAAUGUGCUCAAAUUUCCCAGUUCUUGUUAAAAUGCGAGCAGCUGCAUUUUGUACCAUCUGUAGACCUCUAAAACUUUUCUUUGGUAGCCCAGAAAGAAGAGCAUUACAAUAAUCAAUGCGUGAGGACACAAAUGCAUGGACAAGAACCUCUGCAGUGUCGCUUGACAAAACUUGUCUGAUUCUGGCGAUGUUCCUCAAAUGAUAAAAGGCGGUCUUUGUUAUCUCUUUUACAUGAGACUCGAAAGAGAGCACCAUGUCGAACCACACGCCCAAGCUUUUUACCUUGUCCCUACAAAAAAAACAACAACUUGGUAGCAGCUCAUCAGCACAUUUGACCAACCCUAUAAAAGUCUUGGCAUUGUGUUAACACAAUUGAAAGGAGGAAAGUAAUCAGCAAUUAUCUUAAAGCAACUGGUUGACUGCUGAAGCAUCACUGGGCAAGAUGGUGAACCCCAAGAUGACCAGGAUACAUCCACCACAGUGUGUGUGAAUGUUUGAAAGUGCUUAGGCAUGAUUUGUCGUAGAAAGUGCUUUGAAUGUAUUUAAAAAACACUAAGUACCAGCCCAUUUGCUCUCUCUCAAAAUAACAUGGCAGCAUUGCCUAGCUUUUAAAAACCGUAUCUGAAUGCACAGUGCCACACAUGGAGACACAACAAACACCAAGGGGUGAUCAUUGGGUUUGUUGAGCAGUCACUGAGUCUACCAUGAACACCUUUAUAUACCAACUAUUUCUUGAGUGAAAUGUGAGGUUAAAUCUGUCCAACAGCUAAAACUUAGUCAGACUUCAGUUAUGCAACAAUGAAAAUGACCCCAAGCACACCAGUAGGUCAACAACAGACUUUGAAAUGCUACGGCAUGAAGAUGAGAGUUGAAUGCCCACAAAGCGCAAUGAACGGGGAAAAAAUUAACUGACAAAAUGUAAAAAUUGUGGAGGAAUUUUUACUCCACUCUAGUCAUACAGAAAAUGAUUACUUCAAAUUAUUGCUGAUAAAAGCUCUAAAAUUAUGCAGUCUACCUAAUUUUUCUACUCACCGCGUCUGCAGUUUAUUUUUUGGGGGGUGAAUAUAUAAUUACACAGUGAAUGUGUUGUUCAUCUGAUGUUGCAUUUAACUAAUUUUAAGAAAACCAGGUAAGAACUACCUGAUGUUUUAUUCUGUCUUGAUAUGUAAACCUAAGAACUGACAGAGGGUGUGCUUUAUUAAUCAGGACUUGUAAACAGGAGUUGACUCAAAGUGCUGUGGUAUGUUUGAAAUGAAGUGUCUUUGGAUCUAGGAAAAAAUAGUUUGAAGUAUUACAAGACUUUAUGUAUUAUUAUUAUUAUUAUUAUUAUUAUUAUUAUAUUACAAAGAAUUUCCGAAUUUUUCUGUUUCCCAGUAAAGAAUUCUCUCACUAAUUAUGCAACAAUAUCCAACAGAUAAAGUACAGCGAAGUUUUUCAGUCUGAAAUAAGACGUGGUGUGUAAACAAACAAACCAAAAUCUCAAAAUGCACUAAUUCAUUAAAAACACAUUUGUGGUUUGUAAUCUACUUGUAUGUUUUUUGUCAUUGAGAAAUGAAAGCAUAAGAAACCAGCUUAGCUGAAGUUGUUUCUUGAUGACACAGUGAGAUGAAGUUCCUCAUUCGAGCUCUAAAGACUCCUAACUUAUAACAAAACUCAGCUAAACCUUUGAGGGGAAAAAAAACAAUUAAAAUAGACAGUAAAAGUAGUGAGCUAGUGCUCCCCAUCCAGGUCAGAUGUCACAACACUGACACUUCUCACAUGUGACCAGUGAACUCUUAAAUGUUUUUAAGAGUUAAAGUUGUCAGACGUUGAAAUCAUAGACAAAACUUAAACUUGUUUCCCACGACAGCUAUUUUUUGUGUGUAUGUAUGAACACAACCAAAUGUUUGAUUUCUUUUGAGACCACUUAGUAGGUGAAAAUCCUCACAGAGGACCAGACUCAUGUUGUGUGUUUGUAUUAAAUGGAAAAGAUGGUUGUAGAUCGACCCAGUAAAUCAACCAGUGAGCAUGCAGAAGUAGGGUCUUAACUGUCUUGAAUUUACAAGACAUUAGAAAAACAAGCUGAAUUACAUUAAAUACAUGUUUUAGUAUUUAGAUCUAAAAAUCCAAUAAUAAGAGGAAGCUCGUUUUAAUCCAUUUUUUCUGACUGCUUUCAGAAAACUGUUUUCUAACAGUUCCUACUAAUGAAUUUGUGGUCAGUGUAGAUGAUAUAAAACAAAGAUGAACAGAAGACUGCUCUCCACUUCAGCUCUCCAGGUUUUCAUUUGUAUCUAAUUGUCCACUGUCACUCACACUCUGUCUUAAAGGAGACUCUGGAAGUGUAACAGAUGCUGGUUUAAUAAACAAUUCAUAUGGCAAACUAA
ensembl:lncRNA